AAUGCAGUGUUUGUGUGUAUAUAAUGCAGUGUGUGUGUGUAUAUAAUGUAGUGUGUGCAAUGUGUGCAUUAAACACACACACACUACAUUAUAUACACACACACACUAAAU